GCAAAAAGAAAGAAGAGUACACACUCAUCUUUGUUUUGCAGCUCCUUCAUCACCAACAUACGAAUAAGAAAUAAACUCUUUGCCUUGGGAACUAUCAGUGCAUUGAAAAAGCAGCAGAAAUGAAUUCAGGAAAUGCAGCCAAGACUGGGGAGGGCCGUUCAUUCAAGAGCAAUGCCCCAAAGGCUGGUGGGAAGGGAUUUGGUGGUGGCAUCCCAGGAAUGGACGGACUUGGAGCAGGUGAUGUGGUCUGCCCGUGGGAGACCUUUGGCGAUAUGGAGAUGAGCGACUUGGCGGCAUUUGGCAUCGUCUGACCCCCCCCCCCC